rnacentral:rRNA from 1 species
UGAUGACUGGGGUGAAGUCGUAACAAGGUAGCCGUACCGGAAGGUGUGGCUGGAUCACCUCCUUU